GGCGAAAGGAGGUCAGAAAAAGCCGGCUAUGAGGUUCCAGGAAAUAACGGAAAUCUGUGAAAUUCAGAUGCGGACGUGCCGCUGUAAUCGGUGAUGGUCGAUCAAUCCACUGUAGCAUAAGCGCGAUGGGAAGGAUCCGACAAAAAAACCGUAAGCCAGAAGACGAUUUUUUGGAGCCGGGGCAGCA
rnacentral:ncRNA from 13 species